AAUAUUUUGUCCUCUGGCCUUUGGGAUCCGAGGAUUCCUCCGUAACGAUGGAGGAAGAGAAUGCCGUAGCUUACUACGACGAGCUCACCCGGAAAGGUCAAGGAGCAGCCCGAUUCAAGAGAGGUCUGGGAUUCUCUUCCGGCAACGACGCCGUUCCUUCUAAGUCCUCCUCCUCUUCUUUCCUCAGCAACUUCGUCAAGGCCUCAAGUCCUCCACAGACCUCAAAUCUCGAAAAGCAAGCCCAGCUAGAAACUAUCCAGAACAAGCUCAAGAAGAAAUCCAGAGACGAGCCUCCUAGGAGUGAGAGAAGUAGCAGAGAAUCGAGUCACCGGCAACAUGGCUCGAGAAAUAGGGAUAGAGAUGAUAAGAACGGAGAGAGGUAUUCCAGUAAGCGAAGUAGAAGUAGAAGCAGAAGCGGAGAGAGACGCCGCAAUAUAGAGAGAAACAGAGAGAGGGAGAGAGAUAGGGAUCGGAGAACGAGAAGGAGCAGGAGUAGGAGUUGGUCACCGCGUAAGGAACGGAGAUCGGAAAAGAGGAGGAGCUUGUCCCCGCGCAGGUCGAAGAGAGAUACUGAGAAAGAGGGGAAGGAAAGAAAUGGCGGCGUUGAUUAUUCGCGUUUGAUUGAUGGGUAUGACAAGAUGACACCAUCUGAAAGAGUCAAAGCCCGGAUGAAACUUCAGCUUGAUGAGACUGCUGAAAAGGAUGUGGAAAAAGGCAUGUCCUCUGGCUGGGAACGAUUUGAAUUCAACAAGGACGCCCCGCUAGAUGAUGAGGAAAUUGAAGCUGCAGAAGAUGAUACAACCCUGGUCAAGCACAUUGGCCAGAGUUUCCGGUUUUCUGCUGUUGAGGCUAGAAGAGAGGAUCAAAUCAAAGCUGCUCAUGAUGAGGCUAUGUUUGGUGCUCCAGCACUCUCAUCAUCCGUCAAACCAAUUAAUGAGCCUGAAACAGAAAUCAUCGAAAGAGAGAAUAGUGGAAGUGGCCUUGCUGCAAGUCUCAUAAGUGAGAAGGUACUUGCAAAGCAACAAGGUUCAUGGCGUGACCGUGCUCGUAAAACAUAGGUCAACAUGCUGAUGUGUGGUCUCAAGAAAUUGUCACGCUGUUGCUGGCAUGUUACCAUCUGUUUCUGUUGCAUUCAGUUUCUGAUUGCACUGUUUCCAUACACAGCAGCAGUAGAUAGAUUAAAAUUUGGAGAGGGUCAAAUGGUAAUCAGAUGAUGUGAAAUGGAAAUGGAAACGUGAUUGCUCUCGCUAUGUUUGUUCGAUCUAACCCAGAAACCACCUUCCCUGGAUCUUUUGUUGCACUUUUUCGUUUGUUGUUUAACAUGGUUGAGAUCACCUUGCUUCAUAUGUUCCUGCUUCUAAUCUUGUAAAUUUAGUCUCAACAAUGUAGAAAUGAAUUAUUUAUUUGUUGUAAUGCCUAUGUUCUGAAUUAUGACCGUUAAAGUUUAUGACAUUGGUAGACAUUGUUGAAACAGAAAAUGAGCAGCUUCUAGAAUUAAAAUUGAUUGUAUAAAUGAAUAUUUAAAUUAUUUAGAGAGUGGUUUAAAGUGUUUGAUGUGUGAAUGUACUUUUUGAGAAACUGAAAAUUUAUAAAAAGUGUGUAAAAACUGAA